AUUUAGAAACUGUCCAAGUUGAGAAUAAAUUUGCUCAUAUGUAAAAACGGUUUUAUUUUUUAUUUACGCGAGUUUUUCCUGCUUUUUAAUAGACCAUUUGAGUAUGUUACCCUAUGGAUCGUUGAAGGUAACAUUCUUCAUUAUAUAAGCUUUCUUUGACGCUUAAAACCUUCUUGCAAGCGUGAUCGCCACGCGUGGUUUUCGCGAAUCAUUUACCAGGUCACAGAGUAUCAUAGCAGAGUACAUACGACACAGAGGUGGAAAUUGUAGUAAGCUUUUCUCUUUCAAGAGUCGUGGAAAACAAAAUUUUCUGGGGUGUGCAACACUUGAGACUGAUAGGUUUCUUAAUAUGUAAAUUUUAUUUGCCGUCAACAUCAAAGGCUUUGCUAAACCUAAAGCAAAAACGUUGGUUUUAACUUGGUAAACGUUGGUAUGGAAGAAAUGGUGCAACCAAGCAUGAAAAGGACUCUUGAAGGAGAGAAGCUUACUACCAUUGAUCAUCAGCCUGGAAGCACCAUCAACACCAGGAAUUUAACCAACAAUCACCUCUCCUGUGUUGAGGCAUCAUCACGCAAGGCCAACAAGAAACUGCUUCAUUAGAUAGCUUAAGAUCUACGAUGUCGACGCCAGCUAGGACGUCAGGGCUAAGCAGAGGACUGGGACUAGGACGUCGUCCUGAAUAAGUCGAUAGCUCAAGUAUCUACGACGUCAAAUAUUUAGGGCGGCAAGCAGAAGUGAAUUGGUUAUAGUUUUUGAAGUAUGCAUGUGUCUCUCUCAAUUUGCUCGUCGUUCACCAAACGUCGCCAACCUCACAACAAGAGUUUUACCGUCGUAAAUACCUGUACAAGAGCAUAACAAACGGUAAUGGGUUCACACGGCUCUUUUAAAUUCAUUUUCAAAAGUAUGUACAUUUUUAUAGUUUAAAUGUCUAAGUCGUAAAACUUAAUAUAUAAGUGGAAGUUUAUUUAUUUAGGACGACGUCCCAGUCCUAUGCUUUAUAGCUGUGACGUCCUAGCUGGCGUCGACGUCGUAGAUCUUAAGCUAUCUAUUGUGUCAAGUAUGGCGUUCGUUAAGCCGGCCAUUUCUCGGUUUUGAUAAAGUUUCAAAAACUAAGUAGAGUCCAUCUUUUCAAAGGGAAGCGAAAUAGAAAGGCGCGGCAAGAGAAUUUACAGUAUCACUUCCAUUGCUGACACGAUAAGUGAAAAGGUGGCACUUGCCAAAUAUGCGCGUAUGUCAAGGAAUAUCUGAAGUGAAAAAUAAGUUUUCCGUAUGAGAGUGGAACAAGGAGUUUGUAAUGAAUGCUACAGUACUUUGUGACAUCUUUAGCUGAGAUGGAUGACUUGGAGGGUCAGACGCUGAUUCCAUCAAGAAAGGCGUUGGCUUUCAGAAUCUACAAGAGAGUUCAGACCCAAUUAAAGGAUCUAUGGUUGACAUGUAUUUAACUGGCUGUGAAAGAUGCUAUGAAUGCUCCAGUUGUCCCAAAAGCCGAGCAGCUUUACACCUGACAAUCUACAUACAACCUAUUGAAAGAAUCUGGUACCCUAAAAGAAAAGGUUAAGAAACCUGCCACAAGUCUCGAUAUUACUGUGCUACAACUGACAAGUAUCUAUGGCACACACUUUGUCAGCCUUCGAGACAAAGCAUCAUGGCCUACUUCAUUGGUCUUCGAGGAAGGUGUAAUCAUGAUCCAUCGGUGAUUUGCAAGACCGAAAGAUGUCGUUGAUGUUGACAGCAUUCUUCGAUAUAUCAAAAUGGAAGAUGAUAGCAGUGUCGUUGAAGCACGUAAAUAUUGCAGGUGACAGGGAGUCCCAUGCUUGCUACGCGUAGACAAUAGUCGGUCAUCUUUUUUGUGGGACAAAAGCUAAGAAUGCUUCCCGAAUCCCGCGUUGCUAUCUUUGAAGCUCGUUUUGACGAUUUUAGCAAUUCCGUGUUUAUAAGUCCAUGCAGUUGCUAGGUACUAAAUUUUGGAAUUCUUUGGCAACAAGGAAUCUUAUACCAUGUCUUUAAUAUCACUGUAAUAAUUAAUUAACAGAAUGCACUAAAAAUGCACUAAAUAUGAUGGAAAGAUGGAAAUUAUUAAGACUCUGCCGGGAAACUGGUCGGUGCUGAAAGUUCAAUAAUGCAUACCUCAUGUUCGAAAAGUUAAUAGAAUUGCCAUAAUAUAUGUAAUAUAGUUAAAGUUUGCGAGUUCACGGCAACCAGGUUUAAUAUCAGUCAUGUUUUCGCCCGCUAAUCCGAUUUUUAAAUAAAUUUUACAUUCACAUUCGUGUCAACAUUUCAGUUUAGUGUCUUUAUCACUCAUCAGGAGUGACCUGAAGUCGCAACACGGAGCUUCUUACAGUAUACACUCGAGAGAUGACGUCAUCUGCCAACAAGGUGCAGAUCAUCUCUAUUCAAAGCAUGAUUUUACUUUGACCCUAUCCUUGGCCAUUUUCCACAAUGGUAUUCACCUUGGGAAAGUGUAGGACUUUUGAGGACAAGGUUUGGGAGCAGGGGCAACGAUGCUAAGCAACCUGCUGCCAGAUAUUCACAGUGUUUCCGAUACAAAGAUUCGAUAUAUCCCUGUGUCCCAUUUCUGGUAGCAAUGAUAGCCUCAAAGACAUGAAAUGUGUCUCAUUUCCAAACUUGGCACGGUCCAUCCCAUGGUAUUAUUGAGCGUUUUCCCCAUGCUUAAUUUCAUCCGCUAUGCCUGACUUCAACAGCAGUGUGCCUUAUAUUUAUUUGUCCUCGUACAUUCCAUGUAUAUUCCUUUAUUAUGAUUUUGCAGUGUGAUUUACAUUUUUGUUUACAUGCACGUCCAUCUGAUUUUGUUUACACAGCCUCUCGUAACAUUUUUCUAGAAUGAAUAACCUGUUAAACUUACUGACUUCUCCCCUCCGCCUAAAAUAUGAACUACUGUGUCGUAAAAAAGCUGGUAUGAGUUUAAUUAUUUAUGAAAUUUGAGGCGUAAAAUGUUUGCAGCGGUUAAUUUUCAGUCCCAAUGAAAUUGUCAAAUAUAUUUUUGUGUAGCCAUUAUCAAAUCACCUGAAUACAGAGAAAGAACUGAUGAAACAUAUCGAG